AUUGAACGCUGGCGGCAGGCCUAACACAUGCAAGUCGAGCGGAUGACGGGAGCUUGCUCCUUGAUUCAGCGGCGGACGGGUGAGUAAUGCCUAGGAAUCUGCCUGGUAGUGGGGGACAACGUUUCGAAAGGAACGCUAAUACCGCAUACGUCCUACGGGAGAAAGCAGGGGACCUUCGGGCCUUGCGCUAUCAGAUGAGCCUAGGUCGGAUUAGCUAGUAGGUGAGGUAAUGGCUCACCUAGGCGACGAUCCGUAACUGGUCUGAGAGGAUGAUCAGUCACACUGGAACUGAGACGCGGUCCAGACUCCUACGGGAGGCAGCAGUGGGGAAUAUUGGACAAUGGGCGAAAGCCUGAUUCAGCCAUGCCGCGUGUGUGAAGAAGGUCUUCGGAUUGUAAAGCACUUUAAGUUGGGAGGAAGGGCAGUAAGCUAAUACCUUGCUGUUUUGACGUUACCGACAGAAUAAGCACCGGCUAACUCUGUGCCAGCAGCCGCUGUAACAC
rnacentral:rRNA from 1 species